rnacentral:tRNA from 1 species
GGGCAUUUGGUCUAGUGGUAUGAUUCUCGCUUUAUAUACGAGAGGUCUUGAGUUCUAUUCUCAGAAUGCCUC